rnacentral:rRNA from 1 species
UACGUAGGGUGCAAGCGUUGUCCGGAAUUAUUGGGCGUAAAGAGCUCGUAGGCGGUCUGUUGCGUCGGCUGUGAAAACCCGCAGCUCAACUGUGGGCCUGCAGCUGAUACGGGCGGGCUGGAGUUCGGUAGGGGAGACUGGAAUUCCUGGUGUAGCGGUGAAAUGCGCAGAUAUCAGGAGGAACACCGGUGGCGAAGGCGGGUCUCUGGGCCGAUACUGACGCUGAGGAGCGAAAGCGUGGGGAGCGAACAGG